GACGAACGCUGGCGGCGUGCUUAACACAUGCAAGUCGAACGAAGUGGCGAACGGGUGAGUAACGCGUAAUCAACCUGCCCUUCAGCGGGGGACAACAGUUGGAAACGACUGCUAAUACCGCAUACUGUAGGAGGGGAUUGCGUCUGAUUAGCUAGUUGGAGGGGUAACGGCCCACCAAGGCGAUGAUCAGUAGCCUGUCCGGGGGGUAUAACGGCCAAAUUGGGACUGGGGAACGGCCCAGACUCCUACGGGGGGGAGCAGGUGGGAAUCUUUCGCAAUGGAGGAAAGUCUGACGGAGCAACGCCGCGGUGGUGAUGACGGCCUUCGGGUUGUAAAGCUCUGUUAAUCGGGACGCGGUACCGGAAUAGAAAGCCACGGCUAACUACGUGCCAGCAGCCGCGGUAAUAC
rnacentral:rRNA from 1 species